CGGGUGAGUAACACGUGAGCAACCUGCCUUUCAGAGGGGGACAACAGUUGGAAACGACUGCUAAUACCGCAUAAAAUAACGGAACCGCAUGAUUCUGUUAUCAAAGGAGAAAUCCGCUGAAAGAUGGGCUCGCGUCUGAUUAGAUAGUUGGUGAGGUAACGGCCCACCAAGUCGACGAUCAGUAGCCCGACUGAGAGGUUGAACGGCCACAUUGGGACUGAGACACGGCCCAGACUCCUACGGGAGGCAGCAG
rnacentral:rRNA from 1 species